GUAUUGAAACCUGAGUAAAGUGUCACAAAUGUAGUACAAUGUUUGUGGUGGUGCUUCCCUUUCCAAAGCCAAGUUGAGAGUGAGUUCUGAGAGAAGUGCUUGAAAAGAUUAAAGAGACUGCAGGAAAAGGAACGUAUUAGUUCUCCCUAGCUGGUUGCUUUGUGAGCUUCAAACUUGGUGUGUUCACCAUGCUCCUGUCAUUGGGAGAAAAAAACAUGGGAGAACUUUGGGGGGCCCUUAUCAUGUGUCCCUUGUAGUUUGGGGGUAUAUGGGAACACAAGGCUUGUCUUGACCCACAUCUGUAAAUUUAUGGAGACAGAAGACCCAGUGAGAAGCUGAUGCUAGCAGGCAAAGAAGAAAUCAUAGAGAAAUAAACCUGGGAAUAAAGUAGGGGCAACCACAACUUCUGUUUUAGAGAGCACUUAGAGGAACUUGGGGUCAACAUGGUUCCAUGUGAAUGAUCAUAGAAGUUAGAGGAAGGGGAAGAAAUUGCAUUCUUCUCAGCAGAUAACAGGCCAUGUAAAAUAAUCUCUCUCAGAGAUUGUAUGGAGGCUGAAGGAAGACAUGACUAUUCCAUGGAAGGCACUAAGACUUGGACUUAUACCAUCCACACUCCUGGUUCUCAGGCCUUCAGUCUCAGACUGGAACUCACACCACCAGCUUUCCUGGGUCUCCAGUUUGCAGACAGCAGAGCAGUAGAUCAUGGGACUUCUCAGCCUCCAUAACUAGUAGUGGCUCUGAACCUGGGAUGACUGUCCCUGGGGGGACAUUUGGUGGUGUCUGGAGACUUUAUGGGUUCCUAAAACUGGAAAAGAGAGAGAAAGUUAUCACCCAAACUGGAUCACGGAGACAUACAUGUGAAAAGGUGCUUCAAGCAGAGGAUUUGCGUAUGGUCCUAAUCCCCCACUGCGUGUACGUGAAGCUAUCUGCCAGGUGAAAGCACAUGGAGGAUGGAGGAAUACAGUGAAAAGGAAAUGAGAACACAGUAGCCCCCUGUUGGAAACCCAGCUGUAAUUUCUAGCAUUCAGAUACAUCAUGGGGCACAUCACGACCUUGAACCAUAAACAUAUAUGCAGUAAAAGCCC
rnacentral:lncRNA from 1 species